UACGAAGGGGGCUAGCGUUGCUCGGAAUCACUGGGCGUAAAGGGUGCGUAGGCGGUCUUUUAAGUCGGGGGUGAAAUCCUGGAGCUCAACUCCAGAACUGCCUUCGAUACUGGAAGACUUGAGUCCGGGAGAGGUGAGUGGAACUGCGAGUGUAGAGGUGAAAUUCGUAGAUAUUCGCAAGAACACCAGUGGCGAAGGCGGCUCACUGGCCCGGUACUGACGCUGAGGUGCGAAAGCGUGGGGAGCAAACAGG
rnacentral:rRNA from 1 species